rnacentral:rRNA from 1 species
UACGUAGGGUCCGAGCGUUGUCCGGAAUUACUGGGCGUAAAGCGCGCGCAGGCGGCCCGCGAGGUGUCACGUGAAAGCCCCGGGCUCAACCCGGGAGGGUCGUGGCAAACCGGCGGGCUUGAGGCCGGUAGAGGUGGGUGGAACUCCUGGUGGAGUGGUGAAAUGCGUAGAUAUCGGAAGGAACGCCGGUGGCGAAAGCGACGUGCUGGACCUCUUCUGACGCUGAGGCGCGAAAGCCAGGGGAGCAAACGGG